rnacentral:rRNA from 1 species
GAUGAACGCUGGCGGCGUGCCUAAUACAUGCAAGUCGAGCGAACAGACGAGGAGCUUGCUCCUCUGACGUUAGCGGCGGACGGGUGAGUAACACGUGGAUAACCUACCUAUAAGACUGGGAUAACUUCGGGAAACCGGAGCUAACACCGGAUAAUAUAUUGAACCGCAUGGUUCAAUAGUGAAAGACGGUUUUGCUGUCACUUAUAGAUGGAUCCGCGCCGCAUUAGCUAGUUGGUAAGGUAACGGCUUACCAAGGCAACGAUGCGUAGCCGACCUGAGAGGGUGAUCGGCCACACUGGAACUGAGACACGGUCCAGACUCCUACGGGAGGCAGCAGUAGGGAAUCUUCCGCAAUGGGCGAAAGCUUGACGGAGCAACGCCGCGUGAGUGAUGAAGGUCUUCGGAUCGUAAAACUCUGUUAUGAGGGAAGAACAAAUGUGUAAGUAACUAUGCACGUAUUGACGGUACCUAAUCAGAAAGCCACGGCUAACUACGUG